ACGCUGGCGGCGUGCCUAAUACAUGCAAGUCGAGCGGACAGAAGGGAGCUUGCUCCCGGAUGUUAGCGGCGGACGGGUGAGUAACACGUGGGUAACCUGCCUGUAAGACUGGGAUAACUCCGGGAAACCGGAGCUAAUACCGGAUAGUUCCUUGAACCGCAUGGUUCAAGGAUGAAAGACGGUUUCGGCUGUCACUUACAGAUGGACCCGCGGCGCAUUAGCUAGUUGGUGAGGUAACGGCUCACCAAGGCGACGAUGCGUAGCCGACCUGAGAGGGUGAUCGGCCACACUGGGACUGAGACACGGCCCAGACUCCUACGGGAGGCAGCAGUAGGGAAUCUUCCGCAAUGGACGAAAGUCUGACGGAGCAACGCCGCGUGAGUGAUGAAGGUUUUCGGAUCGUAAAGCUCUGUUGUUAGGGAAGAACAAGUGCAAGAGUAACUGCUUGCACC
rnacentral:rRNA from 1 species